rnacentral:lncRNA from 10 species
CCCAGCUCUAUGAUGGAUGGCACUGGUAGAUAUUCUACCAUUAAUCAGUCUUGGUAUCACCAGGAUAAACCCCUAACUGCCCAUGAGAGAGUUCUAAAGAACAUGUGCUUUAAAAUCCUGAAGAGCCACACAGAUACAAGCUUCGUGUUCUGCUGAAUGGAUAACAAUAGCAAACAUAAAAGAACCCUAAACCUCCGAGUCUCAGGAGCAAGAUCUUUGGCUUUGAAAGUGGCAAAGCUAGGGUUCUGGGGGUUCAGGAAGGAGGGGAGAGGCCAGAAAUACUAACUCUGGUAUCAGAUGCAUAGCGGCCUCUGUAUGUCUGAUCCAGCCUUGAUCAGUGGCCCCCGAACCCCAGCUAGCAACCCCAGUGCCCAGUGGCCAGCAAGUGUGCUGUUCAAUGGGCUAAACACCCCUUGUUCCCUUCCCAGCCUCGUUCUUACAAGCAGCUCCCACCACUGCUGAUGCCGGCCCUGUAUGCAGCCGCAGGGGAACCCUGCUAGGGGCCCAGGAAGUCCGCAUGCCCAAGGGUGUGAACGUGGAUGAUUGAAAAUGGGGUGGUUUCUCUUCCUACCCCACUCACUACAGCACACCCCUGUAUUUCAGGCAACGGUAGUGGGGACGUCCACAAUCCCGUUCAUCCAACAGAAAAUCCUGCAGUUCCCAGGAAAGCCAGUGUAGGAGGUCUUGGCUCCCCUAGUUAACCAGGAGAUUGACAUAAACUAUUCCAGAGUUCCCACGAAGGUCUGGUGAAGGAAACGGGUAUGACCCUGGAGAUUCACAGAUGAAAAUGAGGUAGAGCGUCCUCAUGGCUGGAGGAGGGAAGUAACACACUUGACUUCUGGCUUGGUUUCCUUCCCCACAUGUGUGAAGCUGAAGUGUCCUCAUCACUGGCAUUGUCAUUAUCAAAAAUCUGUGGCAGAGGCUUGCUAGCAAAGCCUACAUCCUACCUGCCAUCCCAGGGCAAGCCCAGUUUCUCUGGAAGGUAAAGAAGGCCAUUACAUAGACUAAAUCUGCACCAACUUUAAAUGUGCCUUCAGUUUUAAAACGCCUCACUGGACCCCUAGAGUUGACCACCCAUGCAUUUUUUAUGUGCAUAACGCAGGGCCCCCAGGCAGGUGACAUAGGUCAUUACCUUUCAAGUGAAGGAUCUAUUUAAAAAUAUGUUGAAAGCUACCCACCAUUUCCAUAGGGAAAGCACAAGUGCACCACUUCACAGCGUUCACCAAGUUCCUAAACUCCCACCCCAGUGGAUCCUUCCAGGGAUCCGUGGACCCCAAAUUAAGAACUUCUGCUCUACACAACAGGAAUUUUAAAAGAAACAGUACAUUAAAUAUUUGCAAAAAUUGAAUAAUUUUAAAACCCCAGGAGAACUUGGGAUUUAAAGAACUACAUGGCAAAUUCCUUUGUAAAGCAAUAAUCUCUCUGUCAUGCAGAGAUUUGCAGACUAUUACUUUCAUAUUUUCGAUUUUCAAAUGUUGCUCUUUUUUAAAGGAACCGUUUGAAAUUUGGAUAUAGGGAGACAAAUUGGCUGCCUCCAUUCAGUUAAAACUUUUUCUUUUUAAUUAAAAAAGCAACUAAUUAUAGACAGUGCUGCAGGGGACAUCAGGGUAUGGAGGGAAGGAAACUUUGCCACCUCUAUCUACUACACACUUUCUUUUCUUCAUUCCCACUCUUCCCCGACAGAGUGAUGGGCUAAGCCAUCCUGAACCAGCUUCUGAGGGCCAAGUAGAAACAUGCAGGGAUGUUAUGGGCUAGUUGUUAAAUGUCCUUGUCUUGACAUUGGCCAUUAUGGGGGUAUUUAUACCACAGAAAUAGGGACUUCUCCCACCCAGCCAUUUUAUCUGGACACCCCUGCCCCCACUCCCUUGAACACACAUGCAUUCAACAUCUAGAAACAUUCACAGAGACGGCAUCUGGCUUUCCAGCUUCCAGUGCAAAAAGAGAAAUGCAUUAGCAAUGAACCCUAAGGAAGAAAUUGGAGCCACAUUGAUUUUGAUAGUAUAUUCGUUAAGGCUGAAAUCUGAGGCAGUUUCUGUGAAUCUGUCAGGACCAUAUUCAUGGACUGACCAAAACAGCAGUUUAGAGCGAAGACUGGGCAAAUCUGGGGAUCUCUCAUGGACGAGAGGUGCACAGCAACGCCAAACACUGAAGGGGCCUUUCCACUAGAUCAUCACUCACAGCUCCAGCACGGGGGCUCCCCUCUUACUCUGCUUCUUCUUCAAGCCCUCAAGACAUCUCUACCCCAAAACGUCAAAAUACCACAUAGCAACCUGAGAACCCCAGACAUGUUCUCCAAGCCCCUGACACACCCUCUGCUGGGGACUUGUCCUUUCUCAGUCUGCUGGCUUGAAUCUUAGAUGCUCAACCUUGUGCCGUCUCCCUCUGAGGCCCUCCUGAUGCCUUCUUUUAGGAGAAAUCUAUCCUGCUUCGAACCCCCACAGUGUUUUGCUGAUAUCUCCCUUAUGUUACUUACCACACUGGUGUUACAGCUAUUGUGUGUGUUUUGCACCUCAGCUAGCCUGCACCUCCCUAAAUGUCUGGGUCUACGUGAGUUUCACAU